rnacentral:rRNA from 1 species
AUGGGCGCAGCCUGAUGCAGCGACGCCGCGUGCGGGAUGACGGCCUUCNGGUUGUAAACCGCUUUUGAUCGGGAGCAAGCCUUCGGGUGAGUGUACCUUUCGAAUAAGCACCGGCUAACUACGUGCCAGCAGCCGCGGUAAUACGUAGGGUGCAAGCGUUAUCCGGAAUUAUUGGGCGUAAAGGGCUCGUAGGCGGUUCGUCGCGUCCGGUGUGAAAGUCCAUCGCUUAACGGUGGAUCCGCGCCGGGUACGGGCGGGCUUGAGUGCGGUAGGGGAGACUGGAAUUCCCGGUGUAACGGUGGAAUGUGUAGAUAUCGGGAAGAACACCAAUGGCGAAGGCAGGUCUCUGGGCCGUCACUGACGCUGAGGAGCGAAAGCGUGGGGAGCGAACAGGAUUAGAUACCCUGGUAGUCCAAGGGCGAAUUC